UUUUUUUUUCCAAUUAAAAUAAAAAAUUAGUGACUUAUAUUUUUUAAAUUUCAUUUAAUUAAUAAAAAUAACUUUAAAAAGAUUCAAAUUAUGGGUGAAACAUAUAAAAAGACAUUUAAAUGUUAUGUUGAUUAUUGACCCCUAAAUUUAAAUGCAGCACACUUUGCAUUUGUCUUGAGAUUGAUAUUGCAAUAUUGUUGUUCAAAAUAGCGAGCACAAAACAAAGAUGCUUCUUCAACUAGGUUAGCAUUGCAUAUGGAAGCUUCAACUUUGGCUUUAUUUUUCACAUUA
rnacentral:misc_RNA from 1 species